rnacentral:rRNA from 1 species
GAUGAACGCUGGCGGCGUGCCUAAUACAUGCAAGUCGAGCGAACAGACGAGGAGCUUGCUCCUUCGACGUUAGCGGCGGACGGGUGAGUAACACGUAGGUAACCUACCUAUAAGACUGGGAUAACUUCGGGAAACCGGAGCUAAUACCGGAUAAUAUUUCGAACCGCAUGGUUCGAUAGUGAAAGAUGGCUUUGCUAUCACUUAUAGAUGGACCUGCGCCGUAUUAGCUAGUUGGUAAGGUAACGGCUUACCAAGGCAACGAUACGUAGCCGACCUGAGAGGGGGGUCGGCCCACCGGAACCUGAGACCCGGCCCAGGCUCCGACGGGAGGCCCCGGUGGGGAAUUUUCCGCAAUGGGGGAAAGCCUGACGGAGCAACGCCGCGGGAGUGAAGAAGGUCUUCGGCUCGUAAACCUCUUUUAUUGGGGAAAAACAAACUGUAAAGUAACGGUGCCCGUCUGGCCGGAACCUAAACAGAAGCCCCCGGUUACCUCCUG